rnacentral:rRNA from 1 species
GGAUUCCCCUAGUAACUGCGAGUGAAGCGGGAAAAGCUCAAAUUUAAAAUCUGGUGGCCUCUGGUCGCCCGAGUUGUAAUUUAGAGAAGCGUCUUCCGCGCCGGACCGUGCACAAGUCUCCUGGAAUGGAGCGUCGUAGAGGGUGAGAAUCCCGUCUUUGGCACGGAGCACCGGGGCUUUUGCGAUGCGCUCUCGAAGAGUCGAGUUGUUUGGGAAUGCAGCUCAAAAUGGGUGGUGAACUCCAUCUAAAGCUAAAUAUUGGCGAGAGACCGAUAGCGAACAAGUACCGUGAGGGAAAGAUGAAAAGCACUUUGGAAAGAGAGUGAAACAGUACGUGAAAUUGUUGAAAGGGAAACGCUUGAAGUCAGUCGCGUCGACCGAGACUCAGCCUCGCCUCGGCUUGGCGUACUUCUCGGCCGACGGGUCAGCAUCGAUUUUGGUCCUCGGAUAAUGGCGAGAGAAAGGUGGCACCUUUGCGGGUGUGUUAUAGUCUCUCGUCGGAUGCGAGGGUCGAGAUCGAGGAACUUUGGCACUCACGGUGCUCGGGAUGCUGGCGUAAUGGCUUUAAACGACCCGUCUUGAAACACGGACCAAGGAGUCUAACAUGCCCGCGAGUGUUCGGGUGGAAAACCCGUGCGCGCAAUGAAAGUGAAAGUUGGGACCUCUGUCGUGGGGGGCACCGACGCCCGGACCAGACCUUCUGUGACGGAUCUGCGGUAGAGCGUGCAUGUUGGGACCCGAAAGAUGGUGAACUAUGCCUGAAUAGGGUGAAGCCAGAGGAAACUCUGGUGGAGGCUCGUAGCGAUUCUGACGUGCAAAUCGAUCGUCAAAUUUGGGUAUAGGGGCGAAAGAC